rnacentral:rRNA from 1 species
UACGUAGGGUGCGAGCGUUGUCCGGAUUUAUUGGGCGUAAAGGGCGCGCAGGCGGUCGGAAGCAGUGGCGCGUGGAAUCUCCGGGCUCAACCCGGAGAGGCCGUGCCAAACGAUUCGACUUGAGGCGAGCAGGGGACCACAGAACGGGCGGAGUAGGGGUGAAAUCCGUAGAGACCGUCCGGAAUACCAAUAGCGAAGGCAGUGGUCUGGGCUUGUCCUGACGCUCGGGCGCGAAAGCGUGGGUAGCGAA